GAUGAACGCUGGCGGCGUGCCUAAUACAUGCAAGUCGAGCGAACAGAUAAGGAGCUUGCUCCUUUGACGUUAGCGGCGGACGGGUGAGUAACACGUGGGUAACCUCCCUAUAAGACUGGUAUCACUCCGGGACACCGGGGCUAAUGCCGGAUAACAUUUAGAACCGCAUGGUUCUAAAGUGAAAGAUGGUUUUGCUAUCACUUAUAGAUGGACCCGCGCCGUAUUAGCUAGUUGGUAAGGUACCGGCUUACCAAGGCAACGAUACGUAGCCGACCUGAGAGGGUGAUCGGCCACACUGGAACUGAGACACGGUCCAGACUCCUACGGGAGGCAGCAGUAGGGAAUCUUCCGCAAUGGGCGAAAGCCUGACGGAGCAACGCCGCGUGAGUGAUGAAGGUCUUCGGAUCGUAAAACUCUGUUAUUAGGGAAGAACAAAUGUGUAAGUAACUGUGCACGUCUUGACGGUACCUAAUCAGAAAGCCACGGCUAACUACGUG
rnacentral:rRNA from 1 species